CUGGUCACAGCCUCGGAAAGGGAGGUUCGAGGAGCCGGUGCAACAUCGGGAGGGAUCAUGGCUGAGAUUUUUCUGGAUUUGACAAUGAACCUAGAUCGAGAGGCCCCCAGAUGCCAAGCAGGACAAAGAAAGGGUAGGAGGAAGUGCCCUGAGAAGCCACUGCCAAGUGCCUCCUCCGCCUGGGCCCACGCGGGUCCAGGAAACCCAGUCCCUAUCUCAGGCAGCCAGACCCCAGUCACCACCCCAAAACCAGCUUGGCGUCUUCAUUUUGAAGGUGAGAUUCCGUGGCUCUUCACUGCACACAGUCCUGGGCUUGUGUAAAAGAACCAGAUUUCAGGAAAAAAAAUGAGACGGGGCCAGAGGAAAGGAAGUCACCAUGUUGGUGACAUAAUGUGCACCGUGGGACAGGGACCAGGGGAGGGACUCAGCCUGGAAAGGUGAGUGGGACCAGGAGAAGGCCUGGGGAUGGGCCCUGGGGACCAGACGGGGGCGUCCACCAAGCCGGAGCCGUCUCAGCACUGUGGCCACCAGGCCCCGUUCAGUGACAAAGAUUCUGUUCAUCCUCUUCACUGUCUCAAAAUGAAAUUCAGAGGAAUGUUUUCGAACCUCCAUAUAAUUGCUGACAGUAAUAAGGGAGAAAUAAAAGACUUUUCUUUUUUGGUGUUGGGGAACUGACCAGGGCCUGUGUCUGCUCAGUACACACUCCCACGACGCUCCGGCCCUGACCAAGAAGGACUUAAAAGAAAACAUUCAGUAUUUCAGCAGAGAAAUGCUCAGGCACGACUCCACUGGAAGACCUGGGCUUCUGAAUGAGAGACUAUUCAGAAAUUGGUAAAAAUAAUCAGAAUGUUUUUUAAAAAGUUCACUCUCAUUUUACAGGAUGGCUGCAACGUUGGGAAAAAUUCAGUGUUUGCUACAAAUAGUAAUAAAAAUGUAAAAUUAUCAUUACGAUUAGGUUUUGGGUGCCCCAUGACUAUGCACAGGUUCUUAAAAUUUAACUUUGGAAUUAUUAGAUGGUCCCGUUUUACACACUAGUCAUUAUGGAACGGUUUAAAGCCCAGCGCCGUGGGCAGGCAGCUGGUCCUGGGCUGUGCAGGACCAUCUUGCGCACAGUAGGACACGGCAGGCCUCCCACGCCCCUCGGUGGACGCCAGGAGUACCCCCCACCCAGGCCUUGGCACACGCACAAAAUACCUCUGGAAGCUUCCAGAUCCGCUUCUGCUUCUGUCCCUUUUGAAAACUCCUCGUCUCGGGUACUGGCCGGGGCUUCGUUGCCCACAGGCCACUGGCCUUGCCGCCCCAUGGGCUUUAUACAGAGGCGUGUGGUGGGGCGCAGCCGUCGAACAACAGUCCUCCUUGUCUUUUCCUUCAAAUAGGACCCUGGUGAUGGCUUUGGCCGCACUCAGAAAGAGGGACCUUGGUUCUCCCCUGUUCACUACAAGGAAGAGCGCAGAGGAAGACCAGGAAGGGCCUGAUCACAGCAGAAGAGUGGCCUGCACACCUGUCCCCAGGUUCGAUGGGCGUGGGUCCUUGUUCAUAGAACACACCCGUGAAGAGUGUCCACCUGGGCCCUGGGCAUCCCACGGAGAGCCGAUGAGGGGGCGAUGCCCUUCCAGAGUGCGCAGCCGCGGUGAGGGCCGGCUGGGGAGGUGGUAAGUGGAGGCCCCGAUGCCCGUGAUUACAGGGAAGAGAGGGCUGUGCACGGGGAGGAGGCGUCGGAAGGAGGCAGGGGUCAUUUGGAGUUAAGAAGGGAAGGCCAU
rnacentral:lncRNA from 1 species